UGCACUUAUGUUUGUUUUUGUUUAACUUGUGGACAAAGACUUACAGAUGGAUGUGAAAAAUAAAUCCUCUUUUGCGAACUGGAACUCAUUGUUCAGUAUGAGUUUUGAUACAUGUAAGAAGGAAUAUU
ensembl:snoRNA